rnacentral:rRNA from 1 species
AAUGGGCGCAAGCCUGAUCCAGCCAUGCCGCGUGAGUGACGAAGGCCUUAGGGUUGUAAAACUCUUUCAGCAGGGAAGAUAAUGACGGUACCUGCAGAAGAAGCCCCGGCUAACUCCGUGCCAGCAGCCGCGGUAAUACGGAGGGGGCUAGCGUUGUUCGGAAUCACUGGGCGUAAAGCGCGCGUAGGCGGGCUGGUCAGUUGAGGGUGAAAUCCCGGGGCUUAACCUCGGAACUGCCUUCAAUACUGCCAGUCUUGAGUUCGAGAGAGGUGAGUGGAAUUCCUAGUGUAGAGGUGAAAUUCGUAGAUAUUAGGAAGAACACCAGUGGCGAAGGCGGCUCACUGGCUCGAUACUGACGCUGAGGUGCGAAAGCGUGGGGAGCAAACAGGAUU